GCAGCAGGCCAGACGACCGCCUGCCCGCCGAAGCGCGUCAGCGCGGAGGCGGCCGGGAGGAAAGUCCGAACUCCGCAGGGCAGUGCGCCGGGUAACGCCCGGUCAGGGUGACCUGAAGGACCAGUGGCACAGAAAACACACAGCCAACGGCAGGUCGCAAGGCCCGCCGCGCCGAAGCCCGAAAGGGCGAAGGCGGGCAAUGGUGAAAAGGUGCGGUAAGAGCGCACCGCGUUCGUGGCAACACGGACGGCAGGCAAAACCCCGCACGGAGCAAGGCCAAAUAGGGAAGCGUUCGAGGACGGCCCGUCCGAAGCUUCCGGGUAGGCUGCUCGAUCCCGUCAGCGAUGACGGGGCCAGAGGAAUGGUCGUCACGCCGAAGCCCGCUCGCAAGCGCGAGCGAAGGCGGACAGAAUUCGGCUUACGGCCUGCUGCGGCA
rnacentral:RNase_P_RNA from 1 species